GGUCUGGUAGGUGAUUGUGUGGUUGGCCAAUCUUUGAAGGUAUGUCAUUUCUUGUGCAUAUUGUAGCCCUGCAAUUUCUGUCUAUGGACUUCCAAGAGAUCCAAGUAUCUCUUUUGUUGUUCUGGUGGUGUGUGUAGCCAUUGCAUAUCAGAUGGUUUGAUGGGAAUACAUUUUUUUUUUAACUUUUUGUGUUGCACGAUG
rnacentral:lncRNA from 1 species